AUACGUGGUGAAGCAUGGAGUUGUAAUUUAUGCACUCUGUAUAACCCCAAAGACUGCUCUUCCCACUCCCCUAAACUCUUUUUCCCACUCUUCAUAUAAUAGUGAGUGGAAGAAUCUGGAUAUGAAACUCUAUCUGCAGGGCACCAGCUGAGAGACAGAAUUUUUGGAAGAACUUAGGAAAGAAACUAAGAAAAGACAACAGCACACAGCAACAAGCAGUCAUCCGGGCCUCUCAUGUCACCGAGAACAUUAUGGUGGGCGCCUGUGAGCUCUUCCUGACCACCCAAGACUUCUAGGAUGCUUUCCCGACCACCCUGCUCCACCCAGGGCAGAGUUGCCAACUCCUUGAUGCCUCCUGUGUUGCAAUCCCAGUCAGAUGAGGUCCCAGGGCCCCAGGGUGGGCGGCGGCUCACCGUAGCCGUGCUCGUACUCUCGGUGUCGACGCCGGCGGUGGUGAUGAUGGUGGUGGUGGUGGCGGUGGUG
rnacentral:lncRNA from 1 species